CCUAAUCCCUUACUCCUCAUGUAUAUAUAUUCUCUUUUUUAACAUAACUAAAUUAUCUUACUAUGGUUGCAGCUGAGAUGAAAAGAGUUCACAAUAAUGAAGAUGAGGAUGACGAUGAUAAUGGUGGAAUUCGUUUUCAAUAUAAAUCCUCCUCAUAAAUUCUUCAGAAUUCAAUCAAUGAUUAACCAACUUUGUAAUUUUUUUUCUUCAUAUAAUUACUUUAUUUGAUGAUUUGUUCCUUUAUGUUUGGCAGUUGAAUCGUUAUCUCUUGCAGAGUUUUUAAUUUUUAUUUAUAUUCACACUUAUAAAGAAUUAUUCAAUUUUAAUUAGUUGUUGUAUUGAUUUAACAGAGGUUAACUCAAAUAACACUAUCACCA
rnacentral:lncRNA from 1 species